GCUUGUUCCUCAUGGUUUGCUCAGCCAGGACAACAAGCCUAGGGAUGGCACAACCCACCCUAGGCCAGGCCCUUCCCAGUCAAUCCUUAAUUAAGAAAAUGUCUUAUGGGCUGGAGAGAUGGCUUAGCAGUUAAGAACACUGACUACUCUUCCAGAGGUCCUGAGUUCAAUUUCCAACAACCACAUGGUGGCUCACAACUGCCUGUAAUGGGAUUAGAAGUCCUCUUCUGGUGUGUCUGAAGGCAGCUACAGUGGACUCACAACAUAAAGCAAAUAAAUAAAUAAAUCAUUAAAAAUUUUAUUUAAAAGAAAGAGGAGGGGGCUGGCGAGGUGGCUCAGUGGGUAAGAGCACUGACUUGAUCUUCUGAAGGUCAUGAGUUCAAAUCUCAGCAACCACAUGGUGGCUCACAACCACCCAUAAUGAGAUCUGAUGCCCUCUGCUGGUGCUCGGGAGUCAGCUACAUUGUACUUAUAUAUAAUAAUAAACAAAUCUUU
rnacentral:lncRNA from 1 species